GAUGAACGCUGGCGGCGUGCCUAAUACAUGCAAGUCGAGCGAACGGACGAGAAGCUUGCUUCUCUGAUGUUAGCGGCGGACGGGUGAGUAACACGUGGAUGACCUACCUAUAAGACUGGGAUAACUUCGGGAAACCGGAGCUAAUACCGGAUGAUAUUUUGAACCGCAUGGUUCAAAAGUGAAAGACGGUCUUGCUGUCACUUAUAGAUGGAUCCGCGCUGCAUUAGCUAGUUGGUAAGGUAACGGCUUACCAAGGCAACGAUGCAUAGCCGACCUGAGAGGGUGAUCGGCCACACUGGAACUGUGACACGGUCCAGAGUCCUACGGGAGGCAGCAGUAGGGAAUCUUCCGCAAAGGGCGAAAGCCUGACGGAGCAACGCCGCGUGAGUGAUGAAGGUCUUCGGAUCGUAAAACUCUGUUAUUAGGGAAGAACAUAUGUGUAAGUAACUGUGCACAUCUUGACGGUACCUAAUCAGAAAGCCACGGCUAACUACGUG
rnacentral:rRNA from 1 species